rnacentral:sRNA from 1 species
AAAUUGUGAUUCGUUAUUAGAUUUAUACUUUUCGUUACCUGGUCUCAAAGAGCUCAGGCAUAGGGGACAGUUUAAAGGGCUAAGGCCUGGUAGGAUUAAGUCUUAUUAAAAUGUAAUAUUUAACAUCAUUAUACUUGAAUAUUGUAUAUUUUAAUUUUAGAAAACAGUUUACCUGUGCUCAACUUGAAUCAAAGUUUGAACAAUGACAGCCAGUGGGAGGUGACAGAAAACAGAACAAACGCCAUAAGAGUUGUAGCAACAGAUGCAGAUAAAGACAAUGUCACUUAUAAACUAGUCAGUCCAUCACCUAGAGUCAGUGUAUCGGGUGAUGGUAUUAUUACCUACAGCCCUGAUGUUAGCAACAUUGUUUCCAUUCAAGUCUAUGCUGUAGAUUCCAAAGAUGGCCAGUCUAAUAUAAUCACUAUACCCACUGCAACAUGUAGCAACUGUAGUGGACAUGGGCAGUGUGAUAAUAGCAGAGUACUUAAUGUUUCUGAUACUUCAAUUUUGUUUGCCUGCAACUGUUUUCCUGCUUAUACAGG